UACGGAGGAUGCGAGCGUUAUCCGGAUUUAUUGGGUUUAAAGGGUGCGUAGGCGGCUUUUUAAGUCAGCGGUGAAAUUUUGCAGCUUAACUGUAACAGUGCCGUUGAUACUGUGGAGCUAGGAUUUGGUUGCUGUGGGUGGAAUGUGUGGUGUAGCGGUGAAAUGCUUAGAGAUCACACAGAAUAUCGAUUGCGAAGGCAGCUUACUAAACUACUACUGACGCUCAGGCACGAAGGCGUGGGGAUCAAACAGGAUUAGAUA
rnacentral:rRNA from 1 species